UUAAGUUAGAAAGGGCGCACGGUGGAUGCCUUGACACUAGGAGUCGAUGAAGGACGGGACUAACGCCGAUAUGCUUCGGGGAGCUGUAAGUAAGCUUUGAUCCGAAGAUUUCCGAAUGGGGAAACCCACUAUACGUAAUGGUAUGGUAUCCUUACCUGAAUACAUAGGGUAUGGAAGACAGACCCAGGGAACUGAAACAUCUAAGUACCUGGAGGAAGAGAAAGCAAAUGCGAUUUCCUGAGUAGCGGCGAGCGAAACGGAACAUAGCCCAAACCAAGAGGCUUGCCUCUUGGGGUUGUAGGACAUUCUAUACGGAGUUACAAAGGAACGAGGUAGACGAAGCGACCUGGAAAGGUCCGUCGUAGAGGGUAACAACCCCGUAGUCGAAACUUCGUUCUCUCUUGAAUGUAUCCUGAGUACGGCGGAACACGUGAAAUUCCGUCGGAAUCUGGGAGGACCAUCUCCCAAGGCUAAAUACUCCCUAGUGAUCGAUAGUGAACCAGUACCGUGAGGGAAAGGUGAAAAGCACCCCGGAAGGGGAGUGAAAGAGAUCCUGAAACCGUGUGCCUACAAAUAGUCAGAGCCCGUUAAUGGGUGAUGGCGUGCCUUUUGUAGAAUGAACCGGCGAGUUACGAUCCCGUGCGAGGUUAAGCUGAAGAGGCGGAGCCGCAGCGAAAGCGAGUCUGAAUAGGGCGUUUAGUACGUGGUCGUAGACCCGAAACCAGGUGAUCUACCCAUGUCCAGGGUGAAGUUCAGGUAACACUGAAUGGAGGCCCGAACCCACGCACGUUGAAAAGUGCGGGGAUGAGGUGUGGGUAGCGGAGAAAUUCCAAUCGAACCUGGAGAUAGCUGGUUCUCCCCGAAAUAGCUUUAGGGCUAGCCUUAAGUGUAAGAGUCUUGGAGGUAGAGCACUGAUUGAACUAGGGGUCCUCAUCGGAUUACCGAAUUCAGUCAAACUCCGAAUGCCAAUGACUUAUCCUUAGGAGUCAGACUGCGAGUGAUAAGAUCCGUAGUCAAGAGGGAAACAGCCCAGAUCGCCAGCUAAGGUCCCAAAGUGUGUAUUAAGUGGAAAAGGAUGUGGAGUUGCUUAGACAACUAGGAUGUUGGCUUAGAAGCAGCCACCAUUUAAAGAGUGCGUAAUAGCUCACUAGUCGAGUGACUCUGCGCCGAAAAUGUACCGGGGCUAAAUACACCACCGAAGCUGCGAAUUGAUACCAAUGGUAUCAGUGGUAGGGGAGCGUUCUAAGUGCAGUGAAGUCAGACCGGAAGGACUGGUGGAGCGCUUAGAAGUGAGAAUGCCGGUAUGAGUAGCGAAAGACGGGUGAGAAUCCCGUCCACCGAAUGCCUAAGGUUUCCUGAGGAAGGCUCGUCCGCUCAGGGUUAGUCAGGACCUAAGCCGAGGCCGACAGGCGUAGGCGAUGGACAACAGGUUGAUAUUCCUGUACCACCUCUUUAUCGUUUGAGCAAUGGAGGGACGCAGAAGGAUAGAAGAAGCGUGCGAUUGGUUGUGCACGUCCAAGCAGUUAGGCUGAUAAGUAGGCAAAUCCGCUUAUCGUGAAGGCUGAGCUGUGAUGGGGAAGCUCCUUAUGGAGCGAAGUCUUUGAUUCCCCGCUGCCAAGAAAAGCUUCUAGCGAGAUAAAAGGUGCCUGUACCGCAAACCGACACAGGUAGGCGAGGAGAGAAUCCUAAGGUGUGCGAGAGAACUCUGGUUAAGGAACUCGGCAAAAUGACCCCGUAACUUCGGGAGAAGGGGUGCUUUCUUAACGGAAAGCCGCAGUGAAUAGGCCCAAGCGACUGUUUAGCAAAAACACAGCUCUCUGCGAAGCCGUAAGGCGAAGUAUAGGGGGUGACACCUGCCCGGUGCUGGAAGGUUAAGGAGAGGGGUUAGCGUAAGCGAAGCUCUGAACUGAAGCCCCAGUAAACGGCGGCCGUAACUAUAACGGUCCUAAGGUAGCGAAAUUCCUUGUCGGGUAAGUUCCGACCCGCACGAAAGGUGUAACGAUUUGGGCACUGUCUCAACCAGAGACUCGGUGAAAUUAUAGUACCUGUGAAGAUGCAGGUUACCCGCGACAGGACGGAAAGACCCCGUGGAGCUUUACUGUAGCCUGAUAUUGAAUUUUGGUACAGUUUGUACAGGAUAGGCGGGAGCCAUUGAAACCGGAGCGCUAGCUUCGGUGGAGGCGCUGGUGGGAUACCGCCCUGACUGUAUUGAAAUUCUAACCUACGGGUCUUAUCGACCCGGGAGACAGUGUCAGGUGGGCAGUUUGACUGGGGCGGUCGCCUCCUAAAGUGUAACGGAGGCGCCCAAAGGUUCCCUCAGAAUGGUUGGAAAUCAUUCGUAGAGUGCAAAGGCAUAAGGGAGCUUGACUGCGAGACCUACAAGUCGAGCAGGGACGAAAGUCGGGCUUAGUGAU
rnacentral:rRNA from 1 species